rnacentral:rRNA from 1 species
UUGACCUCAAAUCAGGUAGGACUACCCGCUGAACUUAAGCAUAUCAAUAAGCGGAGGAAAAGAAACUAACAAGGAUUCCCCUAGUAACUGCGAGUGAAGCGGGAAAAGCUCAAAUUUAAAAUCUGGCAGGUGUUUGUCUGUCCGAGUUGUAACCUAGAGAAGUGUAACCUGUGCUGGACG